UGGGGAAUAUUGGACAAUGGGGGCAACCCUGAUCCAGCCAUGCCGCGUGAGUGAUGAAGGCCUUCGGGUUGUAAAGCUCUUUUGGCGGGGACGAUGAUGACGGUACCCGCAGAAUAAGCCCCGGCUAACUUCGUGCCAGCAGCCGCGGUAAGACGAAGGGGGCUAGCGUUGUUCGGAAUUACUGGGCGUAAAGCGAGUGUAGGCGGUUGUCGUAGUCAGGUGUGAAAGCCUUGAGCUCAACUCAAGAAAUGCACUUGAUACUGGGUGACUAGAGGACCGGAGAGGAUAGUGGAAUUCCCAGUGUAGUGGUGAAAUACGUAGAGAUUGGGAAGAACACCAGUGGCGAAGGCGGCUAUCUGGACGGUUACUGACGCUAAGACUCGAAAGCGUGGGGAGCAAACAGGAUUAGAUACCCUGGGUAGUCCACGCCGUAAACGAUGGGUGCUAGACGUUGGCGAGCUUGCUCGUCAGUGUCGCAGCUAAACGCGUUAAGGCACCCCCGCCUGGGGGAGUA
rnacentral:rRNA from 1 species